CGGAGGAUUACAGCGGAUCUCUUUGUUAGAGCCGAAGCCACACAAACCGAACCCUCGCUCGGCUGGACGCUCCUGGGGGGAGUCCGCUAUUCCUCAGAACCGGGCCCAGCUGGGAGUCGAGUCGUCCGGGGUUUCCGAGAAUUGAGUCUCCCCAGCUCCAGGGUACGGGUGGGGGGCCCCAGUGGCACCCGGCGGGAGAGCCCCGCGAGUGGCGUCUCCACUUAACCUCGCGCGCUUGCCCGGAAACACCUUGGCCUUCUUCCCGCUCCAAUCCCGCUGCAACCCAGAAAAGGCCUCAGGAGUUUGAGAGACUCGAAAAGCCCACAGCGAAGUCGGUAAUAAAUACAUCCACGCUGCGGGGUGUAACAUCCCCAUCUGUUUACCAAGAGAUCUGAUCCGAAAAGACGGUAUGAAACGAGACCUCUCGGGAGGCUGUCACACCAGGGGUAAAACAAAAGUUCUGGGCAGAAGCUGCGUCUCCCGAGAAAGAAGGAAAUGUUUUCAAACAAGGGCCCAAGGAGUCCACUCCGUAAGGCCCCUGCGAAUCUGUUACUCGCAUGCUCCGAAGAGGAGGGCAGGGGGCAUCGGAGCAGCUCAGCGCAGGGCUGGGCUGAGGAGAAGGAGGGCAUUUGGGCGCCCUGGUCUCCAACCUAGACCAGCUCCAAGCCGUGCCUCCCCGCUUUAGGCUCCCCCGUCGCCUUCCCCUGGGAUUAAAGGUGUCAGCUGCAGCGUGGGCCUGGGUGAUAGGGGUGAUGGGAAGGGACAUCUGCCGAGGAAAGGUAAGUAGAGGAUGUGCUGGGACUCGGGAAAGCCCGUGCAGCACCCCACACACGGGCAGUCCCUCUAGAGAAAUGAGCAAAAGGCUAAGCGAACCCUCGGAACCUGGUCACCGGUUCUGCCUCCCUCGGUCUGGGCAUCCCUGUUCUAGAGUCUACAUCCCGAGCCCAAGGCGGGAGAUGGAAAUGAGGAGGGACGCCAGCUAAGCGGCCAGGGAUCUUGGGGACAAAAAGGAUGGGCAGCCCCAAGAAAAAUCUCCGCUCUUGGUAGAGGGCGGGGGAGACUGUUUCCAUCAGUCUGACCUCUUCCUGAAGCAGGGGGAAGAGAUGGAGAAGUUUGUGAGGGUGCGCGGGCAUGGCAGCGGAAAACGUGGGACGCCCCCAGGAAAGCAGAGAGAAGCCAAAGGGAUAAAGAAAGGGCCGGCCAAGGCUGGAAUCAGAAAAUGGGAACGACCAGGAAAACUGCAAAUAAGGGUCUAAACUUAGAAGGCGGAAAGAGUAAAGGUUGUUUGGAAAACAGCAAGUUAUACUGCACGAAAAAAAAAGUUAACUUUUCGUAAAAGUGAACUCUCCGUGACCCUCUGGGUGUGUGACUCGACUUUAACAUACAACUGACAAUUAAAACAAACACGAGUUCACAAACUGUCCCCCGCCCGCUCUCCCGAAGCGGAGGCCCGAGAGUUUCUAAAGAACAAGGCGGGCUCGGCUCCGGGGGUCGAGCGCGCUCUCCGCGGCGCGGCCGGGAUUACAGCCGCCCGGACCACGGCUCCCCGCCCCCACCGCCACUGCAAAGUGCCCGAGUUCACCCCGCGGCGGCUAAUAAUGCUAAUAACGCGACCCCGCUCCCCGAGCCGGGGUGCCCGCUGGCCCCCCGCCAGGCACUCUUAAAGGUACAGGGGCCCGAAUCGCUCCGAGAUUUGGCGGUGGUGGGGGGCUUGCAACCUGGCCUCGAUCAGGCGGCGGGGCUGGGGUGGGAGUAGGGGUGGGGAGGGCGCCGCUCUGGGGUCAGUGGCCCCUAGCCCCGCGGCCGGCUCUCCCGACCACCGAUUCCUCCGACCCCUCUCCGAGCCCCGGCCACACGCUCUCCGGGUGCCCGCGCGCAGUGGGCGCCUGAUAAAUAUUUGUUGAAUUGAGUCAUUAUCCCGUUCCUGAAAAUAUAUAGUAAAUUACACUCUCGGGGUGGAAGGAAAGGCUUCCAUGAACCGCGCUCUGUUUCUGCCAUCGCUCUUCCCCACUUUUCCUACAGGCUCGAGAAGGUUUGCAGAAUGGCUGGUGUGAGGAGAGGCGGU